rnacentral:ncRNA from 2 species
ACACAGCCGUCUGGAGAGACGCCGCAUGCAAGGUGCGGCGCACCGAAGGAGCAAAGCCCCAGCGUAAGCCGCGGCUGAAUCUCUCAGGUAACAGGGACAGUGGAAGCGG